UCACGAAAGUGCAUACCAAUAAAGACAUGUGCUCUCAUCUCACAACCCUUCUUUUCUCAUUUCCUCCUUUCCCUUUAUCUCCACGAAAAAAAAUACCCAGAUCCCUCCUUCUGCCUCCAUCAUCAUUCAACGUCAAGCAGUAAGAAAUUUAGCAGCAAUGGAUUGUCUCUCUCUGCCAAACCAAAACCACAAGGAUUGUGCUCAAGGGUUUUUGAAAUUUCUACCGUUUUUUUACUAUGAAACCAUGGAUGGUGCUGCCAAUUUGAGCUAUUCUUUCAUCAUCACAUUUAGUAGCAGCAAUGGUGAAACACUACAGACCCGCUGAAGAAGAAGGAGGGAAAUGCUGCUAAAUUUCUCACCAGGACACAAGCACUCAAGCAACUUCAAAUUAAUUUAUUUAUUCAUUUCCAGGUUUUCUUAGUUCUUUGUCUGGUAGGAUGGGGUAUGAACCCUCCUUAAAUUCAAAUGUUAGAUCAAGAACAGGUGCUCAUUUGGCCUUUUGAGCAGUUUGGUGUUAUUAUAUGUGUUGUUGCGUUGCAGAUUUGAGGUGAACCUAUUUUUGUAUUACUUUUAAAACUAAAUAACACUAUUUCUUUUACUUGAUCCUAUUUUUAAAAAUUAUGUACUUUUAUUUGUCUUUAGCCUUUAUUUUGAGAUGAAUUGAUAUCAAAUGCUUCACAAGAGUUGGCCUUUGAAUCCACCAUUGGUGAAAUGUCAUCGAUUAAGUGCUUAUUCACAUGCCAAACACGACCUUAAGUGUUUUUCAAAUGGCCUUAACUGCUUAUCCACAUGCCAAACACGAUUCUUGCUUCCAGUUCUAUUACUGUUUUGAAUUUUGGAAUUUUGCUCAGUUACAGUUUCACUUCAACUCUAUUUCGAUUCAACGUUCGAUUCUAUUAUGGUAACUUUUGGAUUUUGAUUGUUUUUGUUACAGAAUCUUUGCUAUUUAGAAUUCAAACAUAUUUUUGUUUCUUCAAUCUUCUUUGAAUGUUGGUUGUCGGUGGUAUUGUCAUCUUGAUUGGUGUUGUUG